rnacentral:tRNA from 2 species
GCCGCCGUGAUUCGUCGUUUAUUGGAACAGACCGGCUUGGACCCGGCCGAAGUGGAUGAGGUGAUCCUCGGCCAGGUGCUGACCGCUGGCAGCGGCC